AUUGUAUGCAUGUAGCAUUAUGAAUGGAUUGCAUGCUAGUUGAUAAUGGCAUAUUAGCAUUAUGAAGAUGUAUACUAUAGAUGUAUAUAUAUGUUGGCUUUAUAGAACAUAUGUGCUAGAUGAAAUGAAUGUUAACCUAUAGUUAAUUAUGGAGAUUAUGAGGCAUUGGCAUCUAAACUAGUGUCGUUAACCUAGAUAGAUCGGUAGGCAUUAACAUAAUUGUUGUUAAAACAUAGGUUGACAUUAAACCUGUGUUGUGGAAACUAGAGUUGAUUAGAACCUAGUGAUGGCAUCGAGAUUUAGUGCGGUUGAGACACUUGACAUGGACCUAGGAUAGUGAGAUUAUCAAGUGAGGGUUAACCUAGUUUGACAGGGUAUCCUCAGUUGGGAGGAUUGGUCUACUCACAUAGUCUGUUUUGGGCUUGUGGCGGCGCUCCCACACAUGAGCAGUUGCACUCCUGAGUUUCACACGAGCUGGUAGGUAUGAGCGGGGUAGCUCACCGGGUGGGAUACGAGCGGGGUAGUCAUCACCAUUGGACUGCGGAAGUGAGUCGGCGGAGCGGGGAGUCUUACCUAGAGAUUUGAGCGGGGUAGCUCUUGACCUAUGAGAUUAAGGUUAGAGUCGGGGCGAAGAGCGGGGUAGCUCUUGCCCUUAGAGCAUUGGUUAUGAGUUGAGCGAGGAGCGGGGUAGCUCUUCACCUAUAGGACUUGAAUCUAAGUUGGGUAGAGCGGUAGCUCUUUACCUUAUAGUAUUGUAGGUUUUGAGACGGGUGAGACAAAGCAGGGUAGCUCUUCCCUAUGUGGUUCGAGAUCUUAGGCGGGGUAGCCUAACGGAUUGGGUAAUACAUGAAUUGGAUAAGUGGAUUUGCAUCAUACAUGAUUCAGACAUAGUACACUGCAUAACUAUGUUAUAGUUGUAAUUAUUUCAUUGUUAAAGCAUACUAGCACUGUAAACUGUAUUGCAUGCAUUCUUUGCAUUUGGUGGCAUGUAAUAUAGUAGAGUUUAUUUCACUAUAUUAUUCUAUUCUCAUCUAUCUCUGUGCCAGCCUACGACCUAGUGGGAAGAUCGGCGGAGUCGCGGACCGAACCCACUGGGAACUAUAUUUAUAUAGUUCUCACCCCGUGUGGUUUUUGGGUUACAGGUACACGUGAGAGCGGACCGACAGGUGAUUGUGGUAAAGCUUAGCGCCUAGAGUAGGGCAUACCUACCUAUUUUGCAUUAGAUUACCUAUACUUUUGAGAGUAGAUGAUGUAUGGUGUGGAUAUUUUGGAAGUUAAGUUGUGUAAACUUUAUGUUUAUAUUUUGAAAGCUUAAAUGUAAUCAAGUUGAUUAGAAGUUGAAUGGAUUUAAUUGUGAUGCCAAAUGUGAUGUAAUUAGUUUAGUUUAUAUUCUUUUUUAUUCAUUGUAUGGUUCUUUGUGAUGCUUCUUCUCAUUGUUCUUCACCACGUUGUGCUCAUCGCUAGUUGUUAAUUAAUUGUGUAUAUAUAUUCAAGUGUUUCCUGGGAACUUGUUGUACACAAUCUCGUCGCUUUAGCCUUGGGCGGACAGGGGAGGUGCUGUCCGUUCGGCGGUCCACCCGGUAUGCCCGAACCGUGCCAAAUUGGUAGUGGUUUCGGGGUGGGGUGUGACAGUUGUGGUAUCAGAGCGAGUUAAGAGCAAGCAAAGAGAGAGUCUAGGACUGACCUAGGAGACCCUAGGAUGGAAACCUUAAGGCUAUAGGUGCGUGAGAGACGUGAACCUAUGAGUUGUGGCGAAAGGAUUAUGGAUUGGGUUGUGUCGUGAACCUCUAAAACGAAUGUUAGAGGUAGACUCAAGGUGUGGUGUAUUCUCAACCGAGGGUGUUCAUGUUGGGUGCACACAACAUGAAGCCGGGUGAUGAGAAUAGACGCCCUUGCCCGAUUUGAGUCGCGUUGUCUAGUAAUCGCGCGAGUUUAGCGGGUUAAGAUGAUUAACCAGAUGUUUGCGUUUCAGGAGCUGAUGUCCCCGAGACGCUACAGGUUAAGAUCCUCGGGAUCCAUAUCUUACAAGUGGUAUCAGAGCGGGUAUAGGUUGUAAAACAUGGCCGAGGGCGGUAGCAUCAAUCGACCCCCUCUCUUCGAUGGCACUAAUUACGCAUAUUGGAAAGUCCGUAUGAGGGCGUUUCUUAUUGCCAUCGACGAGCGGGUAUGGCAAGCCGUUGAAUUCGGGUGGAAACAUCCUACCGAAGUUGUCGAUAAUGUUACCGGUCUGAAACCUAGAAAUAAGUGGACGAAAGAGGAAAACGAAUUAUCUUCGUACAAUGGGAAGGGUAUCAAUGCUCUAUCUAAUGCUUUAAAUCAAACUGAAUUUUCUCGCGUCUCGGCGUGUGAAACCGCCAAAGAGAUUUGGGACACUUUGCAAGUUACACACGAGGGUACAAGCUUGGUUAAGAUUCAAAAAUUGCAAAUGCUUACUAGUAGAUUUGAUUCCAUUCGUAUGGAAGAACAUGAAUCUUUUAUCGAGUACUAUACUCGUUUGCAGGACAUUGUAAACACGUGUGCUAACUUGGGCGAGAAAAUUUCCGAUUCCAAAAUUGUUCGAAAAAUUUUGAGAACCCUUCCCGAACGAUUUCGUCCUAAGGUUGCGGCUAUUGAAACGGUCAAACAUCCUGAUGAACUCAAGGUAGAAGAAUUAGUAGGUGCACUUCAAACUUAUGAAAUGACUUUUCCUUCUAAUUCGUCUUCUUCCAAGUCUUCUUCUAAAGCUUCAGGGAUGGCUCUAAAAUCAACAAAAGGAGAUGUCACUUCAGCUUCUUCAGAUUCGGAGUCGAAGCAAACAUUGGAGGAGUUUGAAAAGCAACUAGCGCUACUAACGAAGAAGUUCCGUCGGAACUUUAGAAAGAAGUUCCCUCCCAAGUCUACUUCCUCCAAGACAAGCAAAUCUAAAGGGGGAUCGUCUUCUUCUUCCUCAUCAAAAUUCAGAAAAUCGAAAAACUUUCAAAAGGACUCUACAAAAGAGAAGAAAAGCAAUGAAGGUCAAAUUCAAUGCUACAAGUGUGUGGGGGCUGUCAAUUGGGGAAACAAACUAGGUCCGCACAUAAGAAUUUGAACCACUUAGGAACAUCUAAACUUUAGAAUUACUUCACAUGGAUUUGAUGGGACCAUUUAGGAUUCAAAGUUUGGGUGGAAAAUGUUAUAUCUUGCUCAUUGUUGAUGACUUUACUCGUUUUGUAUGGAGUGCCUUCUUACGUGAAAAAGCUGAUACUUUUGAUUCUUUCUCUGAGAUUUGUCUCCGUCUUAUGAAUGAGCGUAAUGAUAAAAUUGUACGUAUUCGAAGUGAUCAAGGGGGAGAAUUCAUAAAUUCAAAAUUUGUUGAUUUCUGUGUUUCAAAUGGCAUUAAACAUGAAUUCUCGGCUCCUUACACACCCCAACAAAAUGGAGUGGUUGAACGCAAGAAUCGGGUUGUACAGGAGAUGGCUCGUGUUAUGCUUCAUAGUAAGAAAAUUGCUUUACACUUUUGGGCCGAAGCGGUUAACACAGCUGUCUAUGUUAUCAAUCGGAUCUAUGUGCGUCCGGAUACUUUGAAUACUCCGUAUGAACUUUGGCUUGGUAGGAAACCUAAUAUUAAAUACUUUCGUGUCUUCGGGAGUAAAUGUUUUAUCCUUCGGGAUCGUGAAAAUCUUGGAAAAUUUGACUCUCGAAGUGACGAAGGCAUCUUUCUUGGUUAUUCUACUACAAGUCGUGCUUACCGUGCAUACAAUUUACGAUCUAAGACGGUGAUAGAAUCUAUUAAUAUAAAAGUAGAUGAAGCUUCUUCUGUAAGUUCUUCUGUGAAUAGUUCUUCUAACUCUCUGAUGAAUGAUGAUGAUAAUGAUUCUCCGUUUGUAUUGCCUGUGAAUGAUGAUGUCUCUGCACUUGAUAAUUCCAUUGCAUCUUCUGAAAAUGUUGCAUCAAAUGAUUCAUCUGAGCCUCAAAACACCUCAUCUGAAAUCCCUAGCAUAUCUCCUGAGACUACACCCCUGACAGAGUCAAGAGAUCAUCCUUUAUCAAAUGUCAUUGGGGAUCCUACUGUUGGUGUGCGAACAAGAAGUCAGUUAUAAUGUGAAUUUGCUUGUUAUGUUUCUUUGAUCGAGCCAAAGAAUAUCGACGAACCUCUACGUGAUGAAUAUUGGAUAAAUGCCAUGCAAGAAGAACUUGGUCAAUUUGUCCGCAAUGAUGUAUGGGAAUUAGUGCCACGUCCUGAGCAACAACACAUAAUAGGUACCAAAUGAAUCUUUAAGAAUAAGAAAAAUGAGGAUAGUACUAUUGUUCGGAACAAAGCGAGACUUGUUGCUCAGGGGUACUCACAAAUUGAGGGAAUAGACUUUGAUGAAACAUUCGCCCCAGUUGCCCGUCUUGAAUCAAUGCGUAUUUUGUUCGCGAUUGCCUGUCAUUUUAAAAUCACUCUUUUUCAAAUGGAUGUUAAAAGUGCAUUUCUAAACGAAUUUUUAAAAGAGGAAGUUUAUGUUGAACAACCAAAAGGUUUUAUAGACUCAAAAUUUUCAAAUCAUGUUUUUCGACUGAAAAAGGCACUUUAUGGACUAAAACAGGCUCCACGAGCAUGGUAUGAACGAUUGAUAAAAUAUCUUUUGGAAAAGGGCUACAACCGAGGGGGAGCGGACAGAACUCUCUUUGUAAAACACUUAGGCCCCGUUUGGUUGGGGGGAUAAGCGGGGAUAACGAAAGUUAUCUCCGCUAUUCCGCCAAACGGGGUGAAAUUUGGCCGGGAUAUUUUAUCCUGGUCAAACCUUGCUAUUCCCGGUUAUCCCGGAAUAGCAAGGAAUUUGCUAUUCCACCAUUUUGGUGGAAUAGCACUAUUCCAAUGCUUAAUUUCAAACUUAAUUAAAAUUAUAAAUUGAAUUAAAACUAAAUUAUAUAAAUAUAAUAUGUUAUAUAUUAUAAUACAAUAUUUUUAUUAUAAAAUUAUUAAUUAUACUAUAUUAAUACAUAUUAUUUAUAUUUAAAUAUUAUAAUAAAAUUUAUAAUAAAUUAUAUUUAAAUAUUAUAAUAAAUUCUUUUUAUUAAAUUUAAGUUUAAGUAGAAUUUUAAAAAAAUUUAUAAAUUUAUUAUAAUAAAUAGUUUUUAUUAAUUGUUCCCACCCCUAUUCUUAUUUUAAAAAUUUAAAAAUUAAAAAUUUAAUUUUUUAAAAUUUAUAUAUUAUAAUACAUUAUUUUUAUUAUAAAAUUAUUAAUUGUACUAUAUUAAUAAUUAUUAUUUAUAUUUAAAUAUUAUAAUAAAAUUUAUAGUAAAUUAUAUUUAAAUAUUAUAAUAAAUAAUUGUUCCCAUCCCUAUUUUUAUUUUAAAAUUUUAAAAAUUAAAAAUUUAAAUUGUUAAAAUUUAUAAUUUAUAAUCUCAAAAUUAAAGUUUAUAAUUUUAAAUUUUAAAUUUUAAAAUUAAAUUUUGAUAUUUUAAUUUUGAAAUUUAAAAUUUUAUAUUUUAUAUUUUUCAAAUUUAAAUUUGAUCUUAAAUUUAAAGUUUGCAAUUUAAAAUUUAAAAUUUAAAAUUUUGAAUUUAAAAUUUGAGAUUUUAAAUUUCAAAAUUUGAAAUUUCAAAGUUAAAAUUUUAAAUUUAAAAAUAUAUAUUUAAAAUUUUAAAAAUUUAAAUUCAAAUAUAAUAAGAGGAUAAUAUGAUUAUUUUUAUUUAUAAAACCCACUAUCUUUCUUAUUCCAUCUUAUCUAACCAAACGCUAUUUUUUUUAUUCACAGGAAUAACCCAAUUUUCAUCCAAACGCAAAAUUGAUCUAAUCCCCGCUUAUAUCUCAAUUUAUACCUAUCCCUGGAAUAGCCACUUUUUCCUUAUCCUCGAACCAAACGAUAAGAAUGAUUUCAUUGUGGCACAAAUUUAUGUUGAUGACAUAGUCUUUGGAGCAACUAAAGAUAAGGAUGCUAGUGAUUUUGCAAAAUUAAUGAUAAGCGAGUUUGAGAUGUUGAUGAUGGGGAGCUUAAUUAUUUUCUCGGACUUCAAGUUAAGCAAACUAAAGAUAGAAUUCACUUGUGUCAAUCCAAAUAUGCAAAAGAAUUGGUUAAGAUAUUUGGAUUGCACAAUGCAAAGGAUUUUGACACUCCAAUGGGUACAAGCAAUAAAGGACUUGGAUUGAGUUUGGAAUGACAGAGCGUGGAUGAGAAACAAUACAGAAGCAUGAUUGGUAGCCUAUUGUACUUGACUGCGAGCAGACCAGAUAUUGCUUUUAGUGUUGGAAUUUGUGCUCGUUAUCAAGUUAACCCUAAGAAAGUACAUCUGAAAGCGGUUAAAAGAAUCAUUCGAUACGUUAAAGGUACAACCACGUAUGGCCUCUGGUAUCCUAUGGGAACAUCUCUUGAUCUAAUCGGCUACUCUGAUGCUGACUGGGCAGGCUCCGCAGCUGAUCGGAAAAGUACUAGUGGAGCUUGUUUUUACAUUGGACACUGUCUGGUUGCUUGGCACAGUAAGAAACAAAACUGUAUAGCUCUUUCCACUGCAGAAGCUGAAUACAUUACGGCCGGGAGUUGUUCUACUCAAUUGAUUUGGAUGAAGAGUUUACUGAGCGACUAUCGAAUCCCUUCCACCACUCUUACUAUUUUGUGUGACAACACAAGUGCAAUUAAUAUUUCUAAAAACCCUAUUUUACAUUCACGAACAAAAUAUAUUGAACUAAGAUAUCAUUUUUUAAGAGAACUGGUUGAAUCAAACAUCCUACAACUUGAAUAUAUUUCGACUGAAAAUCAACUUGCAGAUAUUUUAACCAAACCUUUGGAUCAAUAACGUUUUCUGCAUUUAAGAAAGGCUAUUGGUAUGAAUCCUUCACUCUAGAUAUAUUCUAUUUGGCCAUAGAUCAUGUGCAUGUUGCAUAUUUAUGUGUACGGUUUUCGAUGUUUUCUGAUUAUGUUUGAGAGAUGAUUGAAUUUCUUGAAUAUUGUUGCUGUUUUUGGGAGAUGAUUUGGUCUGUGACUUUAAUUAUUUCAUAUUUAAUUUUUGAUUGAUCACUGUCAGGGUUGUUCUCUAUUGGCAUAUUUUCUUUGACCGAUCAAAUCAUUGAAAUUCUGUUUAGCAUAUUGAAUCAAAUUCAACACCUCAUGCUUUGAACUUUGAAUAUUGCAAUUGUUUGUUUGAUUAUUAGUUUUGAGAUGAAUAACUUUUUCUCUAUUUUUGAAAUUGCAAUAAUAUUUUUGACUUGAGGGUUGCACUAAUUUAGGGGGAGUCUUUUCGAUUUUGGUGAUGAAAGUUUCUGAAAGUCAAGAUGUGGAAAGAGUUACAUCCCUACUGGGAGUGUGAAAACUACCACCACAUGGAGGAAAGAGCUACCACCCCGGUCGUCCGGUCAGUGUGUGCAGCUACCACAUGUUGAUUAAAGUAUCUUUAUAAGACAAAAGGACAGUAUCUUUCCGAGAGAAAAAAAAUUAAAUAUGCUCAAAGAGCUAUACAUCUUGUAGGUGGUAUAAGGUGGAAUGUCAAUAAAAGGAUGCUCUAAGAGCCACUCCUGUCUCAAAUAUUGUGCAUAACUCAUUUUGAACAUAUUAUUUUAAUUUCAUGAUUCUGAGAAUUAUUUAUACAUUUUCUUUAACAAAUAUGAUGAUAGAACAAUACAAUUAAUUCCUAGAUCAUGCAUGAUGUGUAGAUUUUUAUUUUAUAUGUAUCUAAAAUUUUCAUUGAUUAUCGGGUCAACAAUUUUGCCAAAUUGAAUAUCUUUGAUAUUGAUUUUUCAAAUUUUAUUUAUGAAAUUUUAUUUGAAGUUGUUGGGAUUGGAAAUUGGUUAUUUUUGAUGAUUGCACAUUGUGGAAUGACUUAUAAUUUUUCUGGAUUUUUCGGGCUUCUUUUAAAAUUUUUAAAGAAAAUUCAGGUUCUGGGACCGGUCCCAGGCAGGAGAGACCGGUCCCUCCGUCAAACCCGAUAAAGGGUUUUUCGCACGAUCUGUUUUGUACGCGUUUCUUUUUUCUCCUGCUUUCCUCCCUGGCGCUUCUCUUGUCUCCAGAUCAGGGUUUCCUCACGUUUCUCCUUGGUUUGCACUGAUUUUAGGUAUGAUUUUCGGAUUUUGUUGCUUUUAUGUCAUAUACUCCAAAAAUGUGUUUUGAUUCAGAUUUUCUUGAUGAUUCUUCUAGAGAUCUUGCUGCUUAUGCAUUUUUUUUUGCUUCGAUCUUGUUCUUAGAACUGUUGUUUUCAUCUUUUCUUGUAUUUCUUCAUCUUUUCGGUUCAUUUUUGUAGGUUUCUCAUGAUCAAAAUUUUAUUUUUCAAAAUUUCUGUGAAAAAUUUAUUUUUGGCUGAUUUUGGUGCAUGAUUUGUUCAUGUUUUUCAUGAUCUUGAGGCCUCUAGGAUUAUCUAGCAUUUAUAUAUCAAUUUGCUAAAAAUUUUUGGAAUAAAAAAAAUUUUGUUUCAUAUAUAAAAUUCAUUAUGUUUAACAGGUGAUUUUCGAAAAUGUACUUGUGGCUUUUUGUGCUUGUGGUCCUUAUGGCUGGGGGUGGUCGCGGUAGCAAACGACAGCGCUCCUUGGCUAAACGGCCGGUUGAGCAUCAACCGGAAGAUGAAGGGAGUGAAUAUGCUCCAGGUGACGAAUCUGAGGAGGACGAGCCGGACUGGGAGGCUUUUUCUCCAGAGGUGUUAACUAAGGAAAAGGAUACAAGAAAAAGAAAAGGCAAAGGAAAAGCUGUUGAAAAAGGAAAAGGCAAAGCUCAGGAACAAGGAAAAGGAAAGGCAUCUAUGGUCGUCGCAAGUCUGGUGGUGUUGAAAUUAGAGAACCAGGUUCUGAGCCACCGCGUCACAGUCUGCAGAUGUUCCGUCUGCUCGACGGUCAAUGUACUCGUCGAAGCAUUGUAUUGGUGAACGCGAUGUUGGCAUUGCCAGUAUCAUUAGUUGUGUUCCGGGAUUUCAGGAUUUAUUUGAAAAAGAAAAUCUUCAUCAGAUUUGUGAUUUUCCGGAACAAACUGGUUUCUGUUUGGAGCUGAUCCGAGAAUUCUAUAUGAGAGCAGUUCACUUGAGUGAUUCCGAUGGCGGCCCGUACGUCUUUACUACUUCUGUACGUGGUGUUGAGUUAUCAAUCACUCCCGAUACGAUAGCGUCUGUGCUAGAAAUGGAAGCAAGGACUGACGGAGUGGAGUAUCUGCAGGCUGGGUUCGACUCACUUCGCGAUUGGAACCGUGUCGUGAACACUAUUUGCAUGCCGGGUACUGAAUCAAACGGCAUUAUGGUUAUGUCCAAAGAUUUCAAAAUGGAGUACAGGUUUUUGAACUUCGUGGUUUGCUACAACAUUUUGCCUCUUGCAAACACGAAAAUUUUGAGAUGGGAUCGUAUCCUGUACAUGUAUCUCUUGGGUAGGCCGGAUAUUAUAAGUGCCAAAAAUAUUAACAUGAAUAUUCCGUUUCUGAUCUGGCGGAGAAUGGCAAAGGACAUCAAGACUUUAGGACAAAAUGAAAGGNAGGACAUUUGUGAAGUCCUCGGUGCAGCUUCGUACCCCGUCUCAGCGCGCUUCUUCCCCUCCUGUUGCUCCACCUCCUGCUACUGCUACUUCUUCUCGUCCUUCUAUGGACAUUUCCAAGGAAGAUAUCUCAGUUUCCUCUGUGUAUCGUGAGCAACAACGUUUAUCUGAAGAGCUUCAGAAACUGUCUGCGGAGCAAGCUGCGAUACGGAAGGAUGUGAACAAGAUGAAGCGAUUAUUAAAUAUGAUUUUUGACAAGUUAGGGUGUUGCUGAGCAGAUUUACCUCCAGGGGAUGCUUCAGAUUAGAUGUUGCGGGGUUCCUCCUUUCGUCAUUUUGGCGCUUUCUGACAAAAAGGGGGAGAUGAUGGCUCUUGAUGAUGAUGACGCAUGCAUUUAGCUUAGAAGAUGCACUUUGUUUAGUUGUGUUAGAGCAUGCAUUUAGCUUAGAUGAUGCACUUUGUUUAGUUGUGUUAGUUGUGUAAAUUUAGAUUUGAUGUUGGCUUAGGUGCUUGACUAUGAACUAUGUCACGCCCCGGGACUGAUACCAAUUUGGGCCGGCCCGAGCUCGUCGAACAGACGCUGAACGGACAGAGUUUCCCCUAUCCGCCCAAGGCUCAUCACAUGUACAUUUUCAAUAAGAAGUGCACUAGCGGAAAUAUACAAAAACGGCUUACACGAGGGUAAGCAAUAGCCAUUAGUGAAAGAAGGGAAAACUAAACAUUUACAAGUACUAUGAUUCAUUUUAGAUCAUAUACAUUGUAUCUAUCCAACUUGUACAUCCAAAUUCUUUACAUUCUUUCAUCAUUUCUUUUACAUCACAUUUACCUUAAAAUGAGCAUUACAUUCUUUUCUUUACUUUGCUUUAUACAUCAACAUCUUAAAUCAUCAAAUACAGAAGAUGAUAAAAGGGUAGCUGCUAACAAAAUGUAACCCAACUCCGAUGGCCUCUGACUACGGUGCGAUACCUUUACCGCGGUCGCUCGCCGGCUCGCUCGGUCCCGGCUCUGUGGAAUAGUGGGGUGAGAACUACAACAAGUUCCCAGUGGGUUCGGCCCCAACAUCACCGACUUUCCCACUAGGACUAACUCAGGCAUAAUAGAAAGGAUAAGUAGGAUAUAGUAACCAAUCUAUAACAUGAUGCUAAUAUGCCUGAACAAAUAGCAAGAAAUAUGUUCAACAUUAAAUAUAUGGAGAUUAUGCAAAUUCUUUCGUUCUUUAUCUUUACACUUUGUUCUUUGUUCUUUAUUCUUUGCUCUUUGUUCUUUGUUCUUUAAUCUCAAGGCUAACCCGGGGGUUUCGCCACAUUAGCUUGCUUCACAUUAAGUCCAUCAUCGCAGGAACUCACCAGCUAGGACCGUCCUUCGGGUUUACUCCAACCCGUGAUGCAUAACUCCGGAGUGCAUCGCCCGAGGGGGAGCGACCGCCCUCGAGCACGGAACUCAUAGCAAGUAUGAUCGAAUCCUUAACUCAAAGGAUUAUAAGUUCAAUCUUGACAUUACACUAACUCUAGUGUUCUUUGCAUCACUUUAUGUUGCCACUCUAGCAAUCAUAGUUCUUUACAUUUCUUUUACUUUUGCUAACUCUAGCAAUCACGUUCUUUACAUCUCUUUUACUUUAGGCUAUCUUUAGCUUUCACAUUCUUUAACUUUACACAUUCUUUAUUCUUUAUACGUUCUUUAUUGCUCUCUUUGCUUUAGCUUUAGUCAUCGUCAUCAUUCUUUACAUCACUUUGAUUCUUUGCUUCACACUAACUCUAGUGUCACUUUACUUUACAUUAUUAGAUGCCACUCGAUCUAUGUCAUAGUGUCACUCUGUUCUUUUGCCUCACUUGGGUACUCAC
rnacentral:lncRNA from 1 species